GAUGAACGCUGGCGGCGUGCCUAAUACAUGCAAGUCGAGCGAACAGACGAGGAUCUUGCUCCUCUGACGUUAGCGGAGGGCGGGUGAGUCACACGUGUAUAACCUACCUAUAAGACUGGGAUAACUUCGGGAAACCGGAGCUAAUACGGGAGAAUAUAUUGAAGCGCAUGGUUCAAUAGUGAAAGACGGUUUUGCGGUCACUUAUAGCUGGAUCCGCGCCGGAUUAGCUGGUUGGUAAGGUAAAGGCUUACCAAGGCAACGAUGCGUAGCCGAACUGAGAGGGUGAUCGGCCACACUGGAACUGAGACACGGUCCAGACUCCUACGGGAGGCAGCAGUAGGGAAUCUUCGGCAAUGGGCGAAAGCCUGACGGAGCAACGCCGCGUGAGUGAUGAAGGUCUUCGGAUCGUAAAACUCUGUUAUUAGGGAAGAACAAAUGUGUAAGUAACUAUGCACGUCUUGACGGUACCUAAUCAGAAAGCCACGGCUAACUACGUG
rnacentral:rRNA from 1 species